GAGUUUGAUCCUGGCUCAGAUUGAACGCUGGCGGCAUGCCUAACACAUGCAAGUCGAACGGAAACGAUGGGAGCUUGCUCCCAGGCGUCGAGUGGCGGACGGGUGAGUAAUACUUAGGAAUCUACCCAGUAGCGGGGGACAACUCGGGGAAGCUCGAGCUAAUACCGCAUACGCCCUACGGGGGAAAGCAGGGGAUCUUCGGACCUUGCACUAUUGGAUGAGCCUAAGUCGGAUUAGCUUGUUGGUGAGGUAAAGGCUCACCAAGGCGACGAUCCGUAGCUGGUCUGAGAGGACGAUCAGCCACACUGGGACUGAGACACGGCCCAGACUCCUACGGGAGGCAGCAGUGGGGAAUAUUGGACAAUGGGGGCAACCCUGAUCCAGCAAUGCCGCGUGUGUGAAGAAGGCCUGCGGGUUGUAAAGCACUUUCAGUAGAGAAGAAAAGCCUAGGGUUAAUAACCCUGAGUCUUGACGUUACCUACAGAAGAAGCUCCGGCUAACUCCGUGCCAGCAGCCGCGGUAAUACGGAGGGAGCGAGCGUUAAUCGGAAUUACUGGGCGUAAAGCGCGCGUAGGCGGCUUUGUAAGUCGGAUGUGAAAGCCCUGGGCUCAACCUGGGAAUGGCAUUCGAUACUGCAUGGCUAGAGUAUGGUAGAGGGAAGUGGGAUUUCCGGUGUAGCGGUGAAAUGCGUAGAUAUCGGAAGGAACACCGGUGGCGAAGGCGACUUCCUGGGCCAAUACUGACGCUGAGGCGCGAAAGCGUGGGUAGCAAACAGGAUUAGAUACCCUGGUAGUCCACGCCGUAAACGAUGAGAACUAGAUGUCGGGGGAAUCUGUCCUUCGGUGUCGCAGCUAACGCGUUAAGUUCUCCGCCUGGGGAGUACGCCGGCAACGGUAAAACUCAAAGGAAUGACG
rnacentral:rRNA from 1 species